rnacentral:lncRNA from 1 species
CAGCCCCAAAUUCUUCAUACCUCAUCAGAACCUCUGAGGCAAUGAGAAACAACCUUGUGACAGCCCCCAGAAGAGAGAGGGAGGUGGGUGGGUCUCACAGCAGCUCAUCACGAGCCUCUCCUGAGCUCAUGUUUAGGGAGGACUGUGAGACAUUCAUUGAAGACAUACAUGAGCUGCAGUCCAAGCCUUUGCCUGCAUGUCCCAUCCAGACACGUGCAAGGCCACCAGGGCACCAUAGUGGAGCCAUCUCUUACACCAUCCUUCUGAAGCAUCCAUCUCCUACGAUGGUCAAGUGAGAUAGACUACAGCAGGAUCUCUCACUCCAUUUUGAAGACUGACUUAUCUUGCUUGCCCAAAUUUCUUGUAGCUGCUUGAAAUCCACAGAGAAGUUUUCUUAUGGGCAGAUUUCAGUUACUAAGAUAGCUUAGGCCCACUCCAUCACACGUUACACUUGACUCCAAGAGGAUGCCCAAUGUAUUAAGAAAGUAAAGCACUUUCUGAGUGCUUUGGUGCAGAUUUUGCCGUACAAGGCUUUAGUUGGUGACCUCAGACUAGUGGUUAAGAACUUAGACUCUGCAGUUGGAUGGUUCUGCCACUUACUAGGAGGGUGAACUUGAGCCAGAUAUUUAACCUCUGUAAGUCUCCAUUCUCUAAUCCACAGAAUGAAGACAACAGCACAAGAAACUUGUAUGAAGCAGUGCAGGUAACGUGCUCAGAAUGGUGUCUGAAACAGGGUAAUACCCAAUAAACGUAGCCCUAUAUGUUAUUGGGAAUCUAUUGGCGCUGAGCUCUUUACUGAGCACAUGGCACUGGGGAGAAAGACAAGGGAAAAGAAACCCAAACAUUGUUAACUUACCAUAUAGUUGAAUGAACUGAACAUGGACAGUCAUAAAAUAGCCUACCGAUGAAUAUCAACCACGGUCUUUGCAAAGGAGAAAUCAGUAGUCAUAAAAUUCAUCCUUUGGUUGAACUAUGUUUGAUUACAGUUCUAAGUUGGCCCAGUGACUUGUGGAUAAAGGCAGAGAGCAGUGGGUCACUCCGUAAAGGCCACCACCAGAGUGCUGUCCAUAGAGUCUCUUUGUAUAAUGGUCUUGGCCAGGCAUUGCUCGCUUACCUCCAUUUUCCUUUCACAGUCCAGCCUGAGGAAUGCCUGCUCAACUGGUUUGAUCAUUUUGACUGAAACAAGCGGUCAUUUCAUGUCCUAUGGGAUGCUUGCUGAGGACAUUAAACACAGAAACAAGUAGAACAUGAAUUCAGAGUGAAGGAGAUGUUAAAGAGGAGAAAACAGAAUCUCAGAGAGUAACCUGCCUUAACCACAACAAUAAAGGAGACAAGUGGCAUGAAUCUAUUUACAAAGAGAAUCACCUCUGUGUCUGUGACCCGAGAGCCAUUCCCGUAGUGAUACAACUUGGACAUUUGUUCAGGAGGCAAGCGCUCACGCUGAGUGAUUUUCAAAGCUGUUCGAGGGCAUUUAUCAGGCUUUUAACUCUAGGUACUCUUUCCCACGGUGUGAAGGCCAAGAGAAGGGAUCCUGGGCUCUCUUCCCCGGCCCCAGGAUGGGAAUUCAGGGGGAAAAGGUCAUCUACUCUUAUCCCACAAAAGAAAACUUAUUCAUCAGUUGUCAAGCUAAGGAGCUUCGGAGUCCACAAAUAGGGAAAUUGCUAAGAGCUUAUCAGUAGUGUUCACCCCCCAACCCAACCUGGGGCCACAUGGAGAAUGAUGUUGGGGGCACCAAUCUUGUCCUACUUCAGGUGAAAAGCAGGGGUGGGGGGUUCAUUCUGAAGGGCUCCUUUGUUAAAAUUCCUUCCAAUUCCAGGAAAAACAUGCACUCCAAAGCCAUUAUCUCUUUUACUUCUUACUAGGGGACUUCCAGGAAAGAGACAGAGGGAGCGAGAGAAAAAAAGAGGAGGGCAGAACAGCUGCAGUGAAUUUAGUCGCCUCUCCAGUUGCUUUCCUUGUUGCAGAAUAUUUCACAUCCCAGGAUUUUCCUUCUUGUCCUCUGGACUGUUGAUACACCCAAGAUCUUAAUAUCCUUUCGAUCACAGGUUAAAGACAUGGGGUGGGGCCGGGGGUUGAGGGAGCAGAAAAUUGUAUUUUAAAGUUUUGUUCUAUUUGUUUUAUCAGCAAUUAAAACUUUUUGUGGUCCCUACCCUGGGCCAUGAGGCCACCCUGCUGUGAAUUCAAUCCAGCCUGACCAGCUAGGACAAUGAUCAUAUGAAUUAAUGGAUCUUGAUAGACCUCAGUUCCCCUCUUCUCGCCUCACUGAGCACAGCCCAGGCUUCAGUGGCUGCACGUGUGAGCAUCCACUCCCACACUCUACCCAAAUCACAUGCUGAAUUCAUUGCACAUGUGAGCCGUGCUGCACCUGUGGUCUGGAGAUACCAGAGUAAAUGUAGCUGUGCACCUCCUCUGGGUGUCAGAGGACCUGAGGUUGCUCCUCUGCCUCAAUGAGGGGAUCUUCCUUCUUCCCUCACAUCUCUCCUCCUCUUUGAAGUCGGUAGCAUGAUUUGGACCCAGCCUCUUGGGAGAGGUGAAAUACUCUUUCACUUUGGAACAGCUGAGGUUUGCUCAUGGAAUCGGAGGUGCUGAAGUCACAAGAUCGUGGUGUGGGUGACGCUGGCGUUUCUUAGUAAUGAGCCUUGCUGACACAUCCCAGGAGAGGAAGUUAGGUUAGGGCAAGGCAAGUGAAUGAAAUUGAUUAAAGGCUGCAACAGAUUAAAAAAAUUAAUGUACUUCAUUUAGGGUUAUGAUGUCUUCUUUCCUGGGUUAAUCCAUAGGCAAUGUGGGAUUAGGGCUCCUUAACCUACACCUGGAAGAUUUCACGUCAGAGGAAGGUAAGAUAGGGGAAUCUGUAGGGGCUGGUCUGUGAGCCAGCAUUGAGAGUUUAAAUUGAGCCCCAUAAGGAAAGCCUUCCUUAUCUCCCAUAACUAGGAAUUACGAUGGUGUCUGAGGAGGGGAGGCCUCUGGAUGCAGGGUUUACUGUAAAACUGAAGGACAGCAAGGCUGAUGCUCACAAGUGAGGGUGGAACAGGUAUGGUAAAAGUGCUUUGCAUUCAGCAGUCACUCAACAAUGACUGAAUUAAAGCUAUUUUGUGAUAAACUUUGUUUGAUAGGCUACUGCCCCAGAAUGUUUGCAAAUAUGCUCAUUUUUGAGGUUCACAGCUGUCCUCUCCUUCCUGAGGUUCUACUGAGGCAUCAUUUACCUCCUGGUAGAUGUGAGAUGUGGUGAUCACUAUAGGGUAGGCAGCUUGGAAGCAAGGAUUGGUGAGCAGUCUUUUGUUCUGAGUUACUACUGCAAUGUAGGCCAAAUUCCUCUAAUUUUUUUUAAAAGACAGAGUGUAGAUAUUGAUAUUCUCAUUUCCUUUGGAGCUAGAGUAACCCAGAGUAAUAAAACCCCUUGGGCAAGCAAAGCAAACACAACUCAAGACAAACCACUUGCACGAGAGGCUUCAAAUGGUGAUUUAGAUUUAGAAAGUUAAGUGAUGGGAUCUUGAAGACCACAUAUUCCUUGGGAAAGGCACAUGAUCUGGCCAGCCUGAAAUGCAUCAUCAGCCCCUUUGAGGAGGUCAGUGACCCAUGUUAAUGUAAGGUAUAAAAUUCCAGGUUGUGGAAUUCGGUGGUGCAACUCAUGAGGGUUCCUACAUUAUAGCAAUCUUUAAAUGGUUUGAUAAAGUUGAGAGAGAGAAACAAAACUGAAGAUUCUUUUUUCUCUCUGAGUAAUGAGACUCUUGGAUGAAAGGCUUUUUCUAUAUAUGGUUUUUAAUCUUCAUUUUCCACUUUCUGGUACCCAGAUCGGCGCAGGGGAGAUCUUUAACUUGGAUAGCAGUUUGUAUUUCUAAUUCAGCCCCAGAUUAGUCUCCUAUUGUGUAUAUGAGAUGUUGAACACAAAAGAAAACUGCCUGAGAGUGUGAGUUGUGGAGGUGGCUGGGCCAGAUGCUUGCCUGAGUGAUGAGCUGCAGAUAUCGGCUCAAGUGGAAUACUAAAAAGGGCUGGUACAUGACUCCAACAUCAUUGAAUUUCCUUUUUCUCCUGCCAGUGGACAUGACAACUGAGGAUAAGGUGGCUGGGAGACCAUGAGGGCAAAUGUGACACAAGGCAGGAGUCUUGCCCGAGCUUGUCAGCUGGUUCUUAUUUCCUCAUGCUGCAGGAGCCUUCUCUGGUAGGGCAGAAAGACAAUGAGAUCUCCAUGCGAUUUUAUGGAUCAGUUUUCACUUUUCCAGAUGCAAAGAGAGGAGCCAUAAUUACCUUGCAUAUGUUUUGAUAGCAUCCCUUGGGCAAGUGGAAGGGGUAACUCACAACAGAUAAACUCUGCUUUUGCUCCAGAAAUGUCUCCUGCAUCUGCAACAGGGGGGUGUUGAGUGAUGCUAUAGGCAGCUGGAAGGGCUCAUUUAUUUGACCUAAUUAUUCCCAGUGUAGACCUGACUCAUCAUAAUGGGCUCUUCUUCAAAGGAAAUGAGAGCCAGAUUGUCUCCUUGGCAGCAAUGGAAAACAAAUGCUAUCCACAGAAUGGCUGUUAGAUUAAAAAAAGGUGCAACUUGCCUUUGGGGCCAGCUGAUGUUUAAUGAUGUUACCAAGAAUAGAGGACUGGAAAGAGAGUAGUGUCAACUUCUGACAUUGUAGCUUUCUAAAAAUGUUCUUAAUAAAAUUAACUUACCAUUGGAUGCCAUGAACAAAAGUAACCACAUACUCAGAAUCCAAGGAAAAAUGGAAGCCUUGGGGUGUUUUUAUUAAUAAUCGAUGAAAUCUCUAUGGGUACAAUGGAGGACUUUUCACAUAGAGACCUUAUUAUUUCUUAAUCCUCUUGGAUGCUCUAUUGAAGGAUUAAAAUGAUCUUUUUUUCCUAAGGGAUGGAGAAAUGGAGAAAGAGAGUUGAAAUAACUCUCCUAUUACCAUCAAGCAAAUCAAACACAGAAUGGGACCAGCAUGCCACAUUCCCUCUGUGAAGCCUUGGAGUGCAACUGCAUUAGCUCAAUGGUGCAUUUCACAACGUCACAACUUCAUCUCAGAUCAUCACAAAUUGUCCAUAUUGAAACCUGGGUGCAAUGAGAAUAAUCACUUAAAUUUUCUCUGGUCCCACUUUUCUGCUUUACAGUGGUAGUUGAGAAUGUCAUACCCCUAAGGACAUGGGGAAGAUGUGUCCUUGACUGAUUGAUCCCUGUGACACAGUCUGACACUUUGCUUUUGUUCAGCAAUUCUCAAAGCACUGGAUUGCAAUGAUGCCCUGUUGACAGCACUGUUCAAAAGUCGACCUGUUGUUGCUGGAACCUCCAAGAAUACAGUGUUUGAUCUCAGCCAGGAUCCUGUCUUGGAAGAGGAGAGGGAAUCCCAAAAACUACUUGUGAAGAAGAUCCCAUUGUUCAAUCAAAUCCUCGUCACUGUAGCAAUCCAUGCAUGCCAUUGCAGUUGGCAUUCUGACACGUGUACACAGUGUUUUCAUCUCUUCCCUGGAGUUGCAGCCAAAGCCUGAGAUUCCUUUCGACACGACCCUGAAAAAACUCUGGGUUUGUGCUCCCCUCUGCUCUGCAAUAACAUACCAGCUCUGUGAUGUGGCCAAUGUUUACCUAGUUGGUGGGAGGACUUUUUAAUAUCAAAAGGAAAACAUUUCUUCUGCAUUCCACAUAGAAUCUGCCAAGGACAUUCCCAAAGAUCUACUUACUUAUUAGAGAAACCAAGAGAGUCCCAGCAGCACAGAGGGAUCGAGAAGACUGAGAACAGAACUGGAGGUGAGAAUAUGGCCACAGGAGACCCCAGGACUUAACAAAUGCACUGGUUUGACUUAUUUUCUGGAUAUUUUCUGGAUGUAUAUACUGCCUUUACUUCUCUUUAAAAUAGGGGCAGUGCUAGAGGUAUUGACGUUUCUUGAAAUGUUCACAAGUCCUUGACACAGACUUCAGGGACUUGCAGUGAUCUAUGUAGACUGGAUAUGCUUCAAGUGGAAGGUUGUUGACUUUAUUUUGGUCCCUAGGGUUAACAUCCCACCUUAUGGAUUAUUCAAGUUAAACUCUCAACAGCUGUUAGGGCUUUGUACUUCCACAGAGCUCAAUCUUUCAGUUGACUGCUCAUUGCUGAGCCCUGUACCAUGCACUCUGGGAGUAAUAUAGGAAGUCUCUUCCUUAGGCAUUGAUUUGCAAAGGCUGAGUAGGUGAGAGUAUGAAGGC